UACGGCCGUAUGACGUUGAAACACCGGUUCUCGUACGAUCACCGAAGUUAAGCAACGUCGAGCCUGGUCAGAACCAAGAUUGGUGACCGCUUGGGAAUACA